AGUUUAAUGCUUGCAGCUAAAUAUCAAUAGGGAAUUGUAAAAUAAUUUUAUAUAAAAAACAUUAUAAGAUUUAGUAAAGGUGAUUGAAACUUAAUAUUAUUUGCAUGCAUAUAGUACUGCGAAGGAAAGCAUAAAAUUGGAAACUAGAAAUUUUUAAAAUUUGUACCUUUUGCAUCAUGGCUUAACUAGAUUAAUUUCUAAAUAGAGGAUCUCGAAACCUAGUGAGCUAUUCUUAUUCUGUUUUAUAGAUCAUUAUAAUGAGUUGGUUGUGGCAAAAACUUCUCAAGAAUUAAGAAUAGAUAUGAAAUUUUAUUCGCACUGGGUGAUAGCUAGUUCUUCUCGAUGGGUAUAUUAGUACUUUGGGCUGUAGAUCUAAUAAAAUAAAUAAAAAUUUAUUUUAUUUAUGAUAGCCUAAUUAGACUUUUGAGGAUAAGCUCGAAAGUUAUUAAGAUUACAUUUAAUUUUUUUUGAAAUAUAAGCUUAGUAAUGGUUAUUAAUAUAAGGGAUUUUGUUAUAAUUCAUUUCUUAGUUACUAAUAGAAUUUAUUUGUUUAUAGUUAUAGAGAAGAAAUUUUAGUAAUUUUAUUAUAAAAUAUUUUUAUGUUAAGAUGAGUAUUGUUUUAUUUAUUUAGUAUACUAACAAGUUAAAAGUUGGUAUUUUUUGUAGCAUUUUAAAGUAAAAUCAUAAAAAGGAACUCGGCAAAUAUUGUAUUCUGCCUGUUUAUCAAAAACAUGGCUUCGUGUCAGUGUUAAAAUACGAAGUCGGACCUGCCCAGUGAGUUUUAAACGGCCGCGGUACUCUGACCGUGCAAAGGUAGCAUAAUCAUUUGCCUUAUAAUUGAAGGCUGGAAUGAAUGGUUUGACAAGAAUACACCUGUCUCUUUUAGAUUGCUUAGAAUUUUAUUUUUGGAUGAAAAAGUCCAGAUAUAAUUAAAAGACAAGAAGACCCUAUCGAGCUUUAGAGGAAUUAAUAGAGUUAAUUUAAACUAAUAUAAAUAAAAAGAAAACUAUUAAAUACUUUGGUUGGGGCAACCGAGGAGUAAGCAAAGCCUCCUUUAGACAUAAUAAAUCUUGCUUGUGUUGAUCCAAAACUUUUGAUCAAAGGAAUUAGUUACCGUAGGGAUAACAGCAUUAUCUUUUUCAAGAGCCCAUAUCGAAAAAAAGGUUUGUGACCUCGAUGUUGGACCAGAAUGUCCUAAAGAUGCAGAAGUCUUUAAGGGUUGGUCUGUUCGACCAUUAAAAUUCUACGUGAUCUGAGUUCAGACCGGCGUGAGCCAGGUCAGUUUCUAUCUUUAUAUUUUUUGAUUGCACCUAGUACGAAAGGACCGGUGUAAUAUAUUAUAUAUUUUUAUUAGAUCAAAUAUAAUUUAACUUUAAG
rnacentral:rRNA from 1 species